GUGCCAGCAGCCGCGGUAAUACGAAGGGGGCUAGCGUUGUUCGGAAUUACUGGGCGUAAAGGGCGCGUAGGCGGUGCUGUAAGUCAGGCGUGAAAUCCCCGGGCUCAACCUGGGAAUUGCGCAUGAUACUGCGGCGCUGGAAUGCGGGAGAGGAUGGCGGAAUUCCCAGUGUAGAGGUGAAAUUCGUAGAUAUUGGGAAGAACACCGGUGGCGAAGGCGGCCAUCUGGCCCGUGAUUGACGCUGAGGCGCGAAAGCGUGGGGAGCAAACAGGAUUAGAUACCCUGGUAGUCC
rnacentral:rRNA from 1 species